GGAGGUAGUGGACAAUAAAUAACAAUACAGGGUUCUUUUGGAUCUUGUAAUUGGAAUGAGUACAAUUUAAAUCUCUUAACGAGGAACAAUUGGAGGGCAAGUCUGGUGCCAGCAGCCGCGGUAAUUCCAGCUCCAAUAGCGUAUAUUAAAGUUGUUGCAGUUAAAAAGCUCGUAGUUGAAUUUCGGGAUCAAUGUUUCGGUCAUGCCGUUGGUAUGUACUGAUAUUAUUGGUUUCUCACCUUCUAAAGAACCGUAAUGCCAUUAAUUUGGUGUCACGGGGAAUUAGGACUGUUACCUUGAAAAAAUUAGAGUGUUUAAAGCAGGCUCACGCUUGAAUACAUUAGCAUGGAAUAAUGAAAUAGGACAUCCGAUUCUAUUUUGUUGGUUUCUAGGAUCGAUGUAAUGAUUAAUAGGGAUAGUUGGG
rnacentral:rRNA from 1 species